GGAUAUGAGGGUGAUCUGGUCGUGACAUCUGUCACCCCAUUGUUUCAGCUCACCUGGCUGGCAAGGUGGUGUCCCUUUCUUCAGUCACAGCUCUGUGCACAUUCCUCCUGAAGGUACUUACUUGGUGGAAGAGGAUGGUCUUACCCACAGAUGGCUGACCAUUUUUCAGUCAGGGAUGUACAUGUAGUUGAACUGCCCUCUCAAAAAGCUCACAAAUAACUGUCAGAUAUACUGGAAAUUCAGUAUAUUGAGAAAAGAGGGAGCUAACCACAGCAUUCCAGAUUCUGUUCCUGUGAGCCUUAGAAACA
rnacentral:snRNA from 1 species